UUUUUCUUUUUUCUUUUUUUUUUUUUUAAUAGACCUUAAAGAUAUUGCACGGAAAUGAAAGACUAGAUAUGUGUACUGGAAUCUGCUCUUAUAUUAAUAAAGUAUGGUUUCUGGUGUUCAUUUAUUUGUUUAUUUAUUUCCCUUCUUAGGCUUGUAAUUCCCUUUAGGUGUGGAGUAAGAAUUGUCUUUUUUGUCAGUGAGACAUGAACAAGGCAGUAAAAUUCUGAAAUUCUAUGCAGAUUUAUUUCUAAUAAUACCAUUACAUAUUUUUGAUUUUUUCCUAUGAUUUAGCCCUUAAAGCUUUGCAUAACAAUUUGAAUGCAAAAUGUAGAUCCUAAAAGGAAUUACAGAAAGAAUAAAUAUUAUUAUAAUAGCAGAUCUUCCGUAAGAGUAAUAAAAAUAUUCACAGUAAUUUCAAAAUAUAUUCUGUUUUAUUAGGCUGUUUUAUUAGUUAUGUUGCAAAAAAAAAAAAAAAUCAAUUUCAAAACAAUGUGGUGCUUUAAAUACUACAGAUAAUUAUAAAAUACCAGGACAGGAUCAAAUAGAUACAAUUUAUAUACAAAUAAAUACAAAUCUUGGAUGGAAUUGAAGUUAUAUAGAGAGUCAAUAAAAGAUAAAUAAGUAGAUAAACUAUAACUGAAAACUCUACUCCAUAGCUUUCAGUGGCUUUUACUGUCUUUGGUUUAGAGUUGCUCCUUCAAUUAAAAGUUGCUGUUUGGCUCAUUUUGACUUUGGGAAAAUAUACUUUUGACUGUCCUGCAUAUUUCUUAGGGCAUCUGGCACAAAGAAGUUGCUUAGGGAAAUGCAUGAGUUGAACUAGGAUGUGAAUUGCUUAGGCAGUCUUUGUCAUUACAUUUGUCCAGGAUGUUAUAGAGAUCAUCUUACAAGACAGCUCAGUGACUGACUGUGCUCUUAGCCUCAUUCCACAAACAGAAAAAAAUAUUACUGUUUAUUUUAAAAUCUUGCUGAAUUUGAUGUAUCAAUUGUCUGCCAAGAAGCAUGGAGGGAAACUAUGUGAGAGUUUCCCAUUCUAGUAGAUUCUUCUUUUCUUUUGUGAACAUAGCCAAGUUUACCAACCCAGAUUCUAAUCUUUGUGAAACUUAUUGCCAUAUAUUGAUAAGCCUACAUUUACUGUGUUGGUCCUCUAAGGGACUUUUGGAUUGAAGUUACCUUUCAUAGAAGCAAUUCUUUCACAAUUCUUUGCAGUUGCUAAUUUCUAUUAUUCAUUUUAGAAAUGCUUUACAAUGAAAAAUAUAUGUGAUAUAAUACAGAUCUGUUCUGUCACCGCUAGAAAGGAAUAGCCUGCUGUUAGAAACAGGGGAGGCUCUGGUUAUCUGUGUAGUAUUUAACUUUCAGGAACUGCAGCACAUUUUAUUUGACAAUGCCCUGAGAAAUUAAACUUCCAGCCAUAUCUAAGAGGAUGAUAAACAUUUAAAGAGAAGAGGAUUUCAACAUUAAUCAUUCACUGAGAGCAAUGCAACUGAGAGAGACCAAGCUGAUGCUGAUGAAUAGCACUAACAGUGCUAAUGAAAGUUUUCAAUGUCCUCUACUGACAAGGCGGGCAUUAGAAAGUUUCUGCUGCUUUGAAAUGGAUAAAGCAUAGUAAUUCAAUAAAUGUUCUUUACUUGUAGUCUUUCCAAUACAUUUCUGAGCUUAGCUCUCAUAAGUAACAGUAACACCCUAUAAGUGUUUGCACCUUAGCAGGCUGUUAAAGAUUUGUAUAGCAGAGACCCAGAUGUCUGAAAUGUUCUGUGUGCAAGAGCUGUGGGGGUCACCCCAGGCAGUGCAGGAAGAGUCGCCUCCCCUCUCUGCUCAUCCUCCCCUGCUGGCACUGACUGAUUGGGGUAACCUACACAAGAAGCAGGUACCAUUUCCCCUGCUUUUCAUAGUGCCUCUUUUAUUUAUAAGAAAUAGAUCAAAGCACAAAAAGGCAAGAAGCGAAAGUAUCAAGGACAGUAGGAUCCAAGUCAGCUAUACUCUGAUGAAAACUAAUUAAGGAAUAGUUUUUUCUGGAAUUGGCUCAAAGCCCAAAGAGGUUCCCAGGCUUUUUGCUCUUCUCUAUAAUGCAAUGAUUUUUUCAGCCCUGACAAUGAGAAAUGCAGGGAGAAGAAAAUCCCUGGUAGCCAGUGAGUGCUCUGUGGUUUACCUUUCCUGCUGGCUGUCCUAGAAGGGAGGGCACAGUGACUUGUGUACCUAUAGGACAUGAACAUGUAGUUGAACUUUCCUUUCUCUGGGGGAUAUUUUAAUAUGCUUAGUGAUAUUUUUAGACCGUGGAAGUCUUUUGUGUAGCAUAACUACCCCAAUACUUAAAACAGGUCUUUAAAACAUCCACACUGGUGGUAUUUUUCUUGAAAACUGAAAUGAAAAUAUUGUGUAGAAGUAUCUAUUAAUUGCAUAAAACUAGUGAGAUUUGGUUACAGGUGCAGAAUUAAAUUGCUGUGUAUCAACAGCAAUGAAAAGAUCUCCAUCCAAGAUUUUUUCUAUCUUUGGGGAAGAUUAUAUGAUAAAAUCUGUUCUGCAUCCCCAUUUACAUUAUCCUUGUUUCUGGAGUUGCUAGUUGCAAUGUUAUUGUAAAUUGAGAUAUAAAUUGGAGAGUGCAUGAUUAAAACGUGUCUGGAUGAUAUGCAUUGUUUAAAGUUGUAUAAAAUACAACAUACCUGGCUUUCGCUAAGUUUACUGUUGGCUUUGGCUGUGUAAUUAAUGCCAAGGUCAGCUGGGAAAAAUCUGAUAAUUUUCUCAUUUCUAUGGGUUUGCUUUUUUUUUUUGUUUUUGCUAGCUGAAAGUUUAAUUGCUCUAAUGGAAUGAAAUACUGAACAUUAGGAUGCCUAGUAAGGUAAAUAAUUUGCUUAAAUCCAAUUUGGACGCUGUCUAGUCAUUGUAGAAGCAGCAUUCAGCAUGUUAGGUAUUGGCAUUGCUAUAUGAAGAAACUUUAAUGCCAUAAAAAUGAUGGCAUUACUACUUCCUCUGGUAGUUGUAUCUUUUUAGCAACUGUUCACUCAAUUUCCCAAAGUUUAUUUUUUGUGCCAGCUUAGGGAAAAUAGGAUUCUGCAGCCCUUAUGUUCUGUUCUCAGGUCUCCUACUGAUUUUAAUUUCUCUAAAUCAGCAGAAUUUCUAAAGGAAAGGGGAGAAAGAUAAAAUAUUAAUAUUUUAAUGCCUUUAUAUUUCAGAGCUAGUUGUAUUACAACAUCUACAGCUUUACCACAUAGCAGUCAUUUCAAAGGAAAUGAGCCUUAUAUGCCUCUAAAAAUGAUAGUUUCUGGCAAUAUGAAGAGUGUAAAAACUGCAUGAUGUUUUAAGGGCAUAAAAGUAGUCAUUAGGCAGUCAUAACAGAAAUGAUAUAUGAAUUUCAGUUCUGGUAGAUAUUGUUUAAUCUUUUCCCAAAAUAAAUCCUGAAGUCAAUUUGUGUUCCUUGGUUCUGUCACUGUGAUUCAGCCUUCUUCCCCCUCUAUCACCUGCCAGGCCUGUGCAGAGCCAGGCAGCGUGUGCAGACUCACUCUCCUCACACUGUCCUGUUGUCAUGUUGGUCAUCAGCUGCCUGCCUGAGUUGUUGAGCUGCUGCCUUUUAGUCCUUUUGCUCUGGCAGGAACCUCCAGAAUCCCCCACCUAUUGCAUUUUUCCAUAAGAAACCUGUAAUUUCAGCUUCUGAUGUUCUUGCCAUCUUUGCAAAUGCACCCUUGCACAAAUCCCUUGCUCCCCACCUUUCCAUUUCUAAUAAUUUUUCCCCCAUGAUCACGAGCCACUUCUUUCUUUUAGUACAGUCAAUUGUCUGUAGUUAAGCUGGCCAGCUGGAUGAAUAAGGCACUGAAUGAGGAAGGAUUUUCAGUAGCAGUGAUAAAAGUAAAGAGUAGUGUAUUAACCAAGCAAGCAUAUAUUUUGUUACAUAAUACUUUGACAGUGUUCCCUAUUAUAACAGUGGUAGACAUAUUCUAAUCUAAUAAUUUUCUUAUCCUUUAGCCUAAAAAUUUUUUAAACAGAAUAUUUUUAAAUUAAGAGAUCAAUCUUAUGUAAUAUAGGAGGGCUUGAAAGCUUUGGUUAUUAAUAAAUCAUGGUGCCAAGUUACCACAAAGAAUCUUCAAAAGCUGAUUUAACUUAUUAUUUUAUUAUUAUUAUAUCUCUUUAGUUUUCCAACUGUUACUUUCAGUUCAGGCUUC
ensembl:lncRNA